CUACGGGUUGCACCAGCGGGGAAUAUUGGGCAAUGGGCGAAAGCCUGACCCAGCAACGCCGCGUGAAGGAAGAAGGCUUUCGGGUCGUAAACUUCUAUCCUAGGUGAAGAUAAUGACGGUAGCCUAGAAGGAAGCCCCGGCUAACUACGUGCCAGCAGCCGCGGUAAUACGUAGGGGGCAAGCAUUGUCCGGAAUGAUUGGGCGUAAAGGGCGCGUAGGCGGCCAUGUAAGUCCGAUGUGAAAGUCCUGCUUUUAAGGUGGGAAUUGCAUUGGAAACUGCGUGGCUUGAGUGCAGGAGAGGUAAGCGGAAUUCCCGGUGUAGCGGUGAAAUGCGUAGAGAUCGGGAGGAACACCAGUGGCGAAGGCGGCUUACUGGACUGUAACUGACGCUGAGGCGCGAAAGUGUGGGGAGCAAACAGGAUUAGAUACCCGCGUAGUC
rnacentral:rRNA from 1 species